rnacentral:misc_RNA from 1 species
GAUGAAGAACGUAGCGAAAUGCGAUAAGUAAUGUGAAUUGCAGAAUUCAGUGAAUCAUCGAAUCUUUGAACGCACAUUGCGCCCGCCAGUAUUCUGGCGGGCAUGCCUGUCCGAGCGUCAUUUCAACCAUCAAGCCCCGGGCUUGUGUUGGGGACCUGCGUCCGACGCAGGCCCUGAAAACCAGUGGCGGGCUCGCUGUCCACACCGAGCGUAGUAACUAACCUCGCUAUGGAGUGGCGCGGGCGCCUGCCGUAAAACCCCCAAUUUUUACAAGGUUGACCUCGGAUCAGGUAGGAAUACCCGCUGAACUUAAGCAUAUCAAUAACGGAGGA